UUCCGGUUGAUCCUGCCGGGAGGCGGACCGCUUUUGGAGUUCGAUUAAGCCAUGCGAGUCGGAGAGCUUUCGGAGCUCGCCAUACUGCUCAGUAACACGUGGAUAACCUGCCCUAUUGUCUGGAAUACCCUCGGGACACUGAGAACAAUGCCGGGAUAGCCCACAAUGCCUGGAACGGUUUGUGGGUGAAGAUAGGAUGGGUCUGCGGCGUAUCAGGUCGUAGGGGGUGUAAUGGACCUCCUAGCCAUCGACGCGUACGGGUGUUGGGAGACAUAGCCCGGAGAUGGAUUCUGAGACACGAAUCCAGACCCUACGGGGUGCAGCAGGCGCGAAAACUUCACACUGCAGGAAACUGUGAUGAGGGAACUCCAAGUGCUAUCACUAUGUGGUAGCUUUUCUUAACUAUUAAUCGGUUUUGGAAUAAGGGCUGGGAAAGACCGGUGCCAGCCGCCGCGGUAAUACCGGCAGCUCAAGUGGUCGUCGCUUUUAUUGGGCCUAAGACGUCCGUAGCCUGUUUAGUAAAUUCGUGGGUAAAUCAACCAGCUUAACUGGUUGAAUUCUGCAAAGACUGCUAGACUAGGGACCGGGAGAGGUGUGAGGUACUCUAGGGGUAGAGGUAAAAUUCUGUCAUCCUUGGAGGACCACCAGUUGCGAAGGCGUCACACUAGAACGGAUCCGACGGUCAGGGACGAACCCUAGGGCCACGAACCGGAUUAGAUACCCGGGUAGUCCUAGGUGUAAACGCUGUGAACUUGGUGUCGGGAUUCCGCCAGGGGACCUCGGUGCCGAAGUGAAGAUGUUAAGUUCACUCCCUGGGAAAUACGGUCCCAAGGCUGAAACUUAAAGGAAUUGGCGGGGCAGCAC
rnacentral:rRNA from 1 species